GACGAACGCUGGCGGCGUGCUUAACACAUGCAAGUCGAACGGGAAGGCCCUCACCUUGGUGGGGGUGCUCGAGUGGCGAACGGGUGAGUAACACGUGGGUGAUCUGCCCUGUACUUCGGGAUAAGCUUGGGAAACUGGGUCUAAUACCGGAUAGGACCAUGGUUUAGUGUCUCAUGGUGGAAAAAUUAUUGUUUUGGUGCAGGAUGAGCUCGCGGCCUAUCAGCUUGUUGGUGGGGUAAUGGCCUACCAAGGCGUCGACGGGUAGCCGGCCUGAGAGGGUGGACGGCCACAUUGGGACUGAGAUACGGCCCAGACUCCUACGGGAGGCAGCAGUGGGGAAUAUUGCACAAUGGGCGCAAGCCUGAUGCACCGACGCCGCGUGGGGGAUGACGGCCUUCGGGUUGUAAACUCCUUUCGUUAGGGACGAAGCCACACUUUUUUUGGGUGUGGUGACGGUACCUUUGUUAAGAAGCACCGGCUAACUACGUGCCAGCAGCCGCGGUAAUACGUAGGGUGCGAGCGUUGUCCGGAAUUACUGGGCGUAAAGAGCUCGUAAGUGGUUUGUUGCGUCGUCUGUGAAAUUCCGGGGCUUAACUUCGGGGUGGCAGGCGAUACGGGCAUAACUAGAGUGCUGUAGGGGAGACUGGAAUUCCUGGUGUAGCGGUGGAAUGCGCAGAUAUCAGGAGGAACACCGAUGGCGAAGGCAGGUCUCUGGGCAGUAACUGACGCUGAGGAGCGAAAGCAUGGGGAGCGAACAGGAUUAGAUACCCUGGUAGUCCAUGCUGUAAACGGUGGGCGUUAGGUGUGGGGACCGGUUUGGUUUCUGUGCCGUAGCUAACGCAUUAAGCGCCCCGCCUGGGGAGUACGGCCGCAAGGCUAAAACUCAAAGGAAUUGACGGGGGCCCGCACAAGCGGCGGAGCAUGUGGAUUAAUUCGAUGCAACGCGAAGAACCUUACCUGGGUUUGACAUGCACCAGACGGUUGUAGAGAUACGUACCUCCCUUUGUGGUUGGUGUGCAGGUGGUGCAUGGUUGUCGUCAGCUCGUGUCGUGAGAUGUUGGGUUAAGUCCCGCAACGAGCGCAACCCUUGUCUUAUGUUGCCAGCACGUUUGGGUGGGGACUCAUGAGAGACUGCCGGGGUUAACUCGGAGGAAGGUGGGGAUGACGUCAAAUCAUCAUGCCCUUUAUGCCCAGGGCUUCACACAUGCUACAAUGGUUAGUACAACGCGCGGCGAGCCUGUGAGGGUGAGCGAAUCGCUGAAAGCUAAUCUCAGUUCGGAUUGGGGUCUGCAACUCGACCCCAUGAAGUCGGAGUCGCUAGUAAUCGCAGAUCAGCAAUGCUGCGGUGAAUACGUUCCCGGGCCU
rnacentral:rRNA from 1 species